UGGGGCUAUAGCUGCAUUGGGUUGCAUCACACAGCCAAAGUUAUCUAGAUUAAAGCCAUGAUUACCUGAAGGUGACAGACACCUCUGUACUCCUCCAGACAAAGGCUUGUGAAGCCCAAAUGAUGUGGUUCCUUUUCACAUACUUUGUUGGAUACCCAGCACCAUGCCUGUGGACCUACAGGUUGCCUAGACAAAACAGACAGCAAGCUGUUCCUGCCUCAUCUGUGAGUGAAACUAUAGGGCAUAUACUAAAGCGGUUUGCUAAAUCCUGACUAUAACUUGUACCUCAACAUCUCUCCUGCCUGGAUGAGUUUUGUGAAACCUGACCAUCCUUCAAGAGUUGCUAUUAUUUAACACUGCAUAUUGUAUGUUAAGGAGCUCUACCCACUGUCAUAGGAACUCAGAAAUAAAGAGCUUAUCAGAUGCA